UACGAAGGGGGCUAGCGUUGCUCGGAAUCACUGGGCGUAAAGGGUGCGUAGGCGGGUUUUUAAGUCAGAGGUGAAAUCCUGGAGCUCAACUCCAGAACUGCCUUUGAUACUGAAAGUCUUGAGUAUGGGAGAGGUGAGUGGGACUGCGAGUGUAGAGGUGAAAUUCGUAGAUAUUCGCAAGAACACCAGUGGCGAAGGCGGCUCACUGGCCCAUAACCGACGCUGAGGCACGAAAGCGUGGGGAGCAAACAGG
rnacentral:rRNA from 1 species